CCUACGGGGGACAGCAGUGGGGGAUAUUGCACAAUGGGGGAAACCCUGAUGCAGCGACGCCGCGUGUGGGAAGACGGUCCUCUGGAUUGUAAACCACUGUCCCCAGGGACGAAGAUGACGGUACCUGGGGAGGAAGCUCCGGCUAACUACGUGCCAGCAGCCGCGGUACUACGUAGGGAGCAAGCGUUGUCCGGAAUUACUGGGUGUAAGGGGAGCGUAGGCGGGAUGGCAAGUUGGGUGUUAAAUCUACCGGCUAAACUGGGAGUCGCACUCAAAACUGCUAGUCUUGAGUGAAGUAGAGGCAGGCGGAAUUCCUGGUGUAGCGGUGAAAUGCGUAGAGAUUAGGAGGAACACCAGUGGCGAAGGCGGCCUGCUGGGCUUUUACUGACGCUGAGGCUCGAAAGUGUGGGGAGCAAACAGGAUUAGAUACCCUAGUAGUC
rnacentral:rRNA from 1 species